GUUACUGUGGCAGCGGGCAUCCCAGGGUGCGUGCGGUGCAGGGUGUGCAAGAAAAUGCGAGGUUGGAGGAGGAGGUCUGUGUGUUUUUAAGGAUUGUGUGGAGUUGUGAGGUGGCGGAGUAGGGCGGGAGAAAGAGCGGAGAGUGUGAACUGCAGUUUCCGCUUUGCGGAAGGUUGCAGCUGCUGCUGCAGAUUGGCACCUGCCAUUCCCCCAAAACCAUGGGAAACUGCCUCGAGACAGGGCUAUCUUGCCUUUCUGGUGUCUUUUCAUUUGAGGGUGAGAGGAUGAAAUGGAAAAUUGGGCGGUGAUAGCAGCGUUUUCUUUGAUCAAACUGAAAAGAGUACGGAGCAAAGUAGAAUCCUGUCCUGAAACGUGGAAACGCACAACAAAUAACAAUGAGGAGGAGAAGGAGAUUAGGAUCAUUUUAUCAGUCCCCUAUUUCUGCGGACACUCAUUUAUAUUUUUUUUCUAGCAAAAGUCUGGAGGAAGUAUUACUGAAAUAGGGGGAGGGGCCAA
rnacentral:lncRNA from 1 species